GCAUGUAAAGAGGAGUGAAUUUAAUGUGUGGGAGGCGGCUGGCUGCUCACUCUGUCACGCACGUGUGCGCAGGGUGUGCCAACUUUCCCUGCUUUGGGAGGGACGAGCGCUUUGGUCUCAGAGCUAAAAAAAAUAAAAUAAUCGGUGCUGCUUUUUUCACUCUAUAACUCACCGCGGCCAUUCGGUGCGCUUCGGUGUGGGGUUAAAGCUGCGUUUUUAAAGAAAACAACUCCCACCGACUGCAGCAGGAAAUCACUAUUUGGGUUUAUGAGGCACCUCUUCCUGACGGGCUGCGUGGAGACGGCUCUGCUGGCUCUGCGAGGUCGGUCCCCGGCCCGGCAGCGUCGCACGCGGACCCUCGGCAUCGGAGAGGGGCAGGGGGACACGGGAAAGACACUCCUGCGAGGGCUGCAGCUUCUGCCAGCAGGAAGGAAGGAGAUGCUUGAGCUGAUCGGGCUUGUGUCGGCUCCUCAAAUGAAAUAGGGGAGAGGAGAGGCAAAGGGGUGUCUUUGGUGCACAGAGCUGUGCGCAUCGAGGCACUGAAGGUGUGAGAAACGUUAGUCAAAUGAAAAUAAACUCACUCUGAAUUUUA